rnacentral:lncRNA from 1 species
CCUACUAUUCCAGCAUAACCAGGGUUCAUUGAAAUAUCUCUGGCCGCAUUAGCGCCGGAGAAAAAAUCCGUCAAAGCCAGACGAGUCAUGCCCGUCGUUAAGCUGAAUCGUAUAUCAUUAAUCAGACUUUUCAGGACACUAUAGAAUUCCUGAAGAAAUACUAAAACCUGGGAGGAUUCAAACUUAUUUACCGAAUACAUGUGUGUGUAAGGCGCAUCGUAUUCAUCUAUUAAAAGGACAACAUUUUUAUUGUACUUUCUUUUCAGCCUCUGAAUUAUUCGACGCAUGGCUAUCGAGAUAUUAUCUGUAUCUAGAUGAAUAUCAUGGACUUCCGCUUCAUCUUGCAAUAACGCUAACAUUCUUUUCUUAAAAUCAGAUGGAAGUACCUACCUUUAGUCACGGAAAAAUCGAAACGAAUUACUGGAUAGUUUGGCCAUCGGUUGAAUUUCAUAUGCUGCUUAUAACCGCGGAAAAACUCUGCUGCGUGGAAAGACUGUGUCUAUCCUUUAAAGAAGGAUGCCAUAGUGACUGUGACUAAUGUUUUUCCGAAGCGCCGAGGGCGUGCUAGGAACCAUAAAACUUGUGUUUCAUUUUCCUUCACCAUAUUGUACAAAUAGUCAGUUUUGUCGACGAUGCACUUCUUUUUCACUACCUUCUCGAAGUAAUCGGACUCCGCCGAGGAAAGCAUAAAGCAGAAAUGGAAUUCGCUGCGCACACACUUCCUUUCUGAACUCAAAAAAAUUGAAGUUUCCCAAAAAGAAGUGGCACUGGCACUGAUAGUUUGUAUUAUCCAACCAUGACAUAUUUUGACGACUUGCUGUUCUUACAAGAUCAUGUGAAAGUACGUCCGACUGUUUCAAAUGCUCCAAAAGACAAGAAGCCAUAUGAUACUGAAGAAGAUCCUGAUGAUCCUGGGUAUCUUGAUAAUACUGAGAACCAAGAACCAUCCAUUCAGAGUAUCGAUAUUCCGAAGAUCAAGAUUCCUAACCCCCGCCCCGUUAAGAAGCGUAAGCCGUCUAUAGAACAAGAAGAACUGAAACUUCUACAGAGAAUGGGAACGAUUCUGUCAACUAUUGCACAGAAAAAUGCCACAAAGCCUCAGACUGUGACUCAGCCAACAGCUCCACCUGCUAAUGAGGAUCGUUUUGAUCAUUUCAGAAAGUUUAUUGCAUCAACUUUACGAACCAUGCCUGCAGAUGAGGUAAAUAAUAUAAUAUCAUAAUUUUUACAUUAUUCUUUCGCAGCCUAUAUCUAAUUUUCUUCACCUGCAUCACAUAUCAUAAUUUUCAUAUUAUUCUUUUGCUGAUGAUUAAAAUCCAUUUUUUACCCGUUUUUAACUCAGUACAAACAAUUUUGUUUUCUUUCCUUUCGUACAUACUGUGCUCUUUUGUCUGCGUUUUUUCAACGUCAUUAAAUUUCAUUGUGAGCAAAAAUGUAUUACAAAUUAUUUAAUUUUUGAUACUUACCGGUUGUAAGUAACUAAUGUCCUAUGGCGCCCUCUUUGAAAAAUUAUGUA